AAGCAAUGAUCAGAGAAAUACACCACGGGGUAUUACAGCUUGCUUAGUCGAAUUUCGAUUCACUUGGACUUUGUCAGCAUGUGGAUUUCUGCAGCAUUCCUUCUUUUUGCAUUGGCUGUAAAUGGAGACAAGUCUGAAGAUUCUUUCAGCAUUGGUCGAAAAUGCCCCAC